UCCCUUCUUCUUCCUCUUGGUUUUUAAAAGACAUUCCUCUCCUCGUACAAGCUCUUAUCGCUUGGAAAAGAUGAUUGCGCGGGAUCUUCUUCCUCAAUCUCUUCUUCUUUGUCAUCUUCGAGGGUAAUGUCUUCUGUAACCCUAGUCUUCUUUCUCUUCCCCAUUUCGGCAAAGAUACUUUUCUUCCACAAUCGACGACUUGAGAAAUCUGCAGAGAUAUACCAAGCCAAUGAAGUGAGACUCAGUUGAUAAACAUAUAUAAAGUGAUUCGUGUUAUGUGAUGAUUUCCCGCCAUAUUAUUCCUCAACUUCUACAUAUUCCCGCCGGGUGACGGGUGACUAAUCGCCAAUCGGGUUAAUC
rnacentral:lncRNA from 1 species